GUAAACUGCUUUUGUACGGGAAGAAAAAAAGCUACGUGUAGUUUACUGACGGUACCGUAAGAAUAAGGAUCGGCUAACUCCGUGCCAGCAGCCGCGGUAAUACGGAGGAUCCAAGCGUUAUCCGGAAUCAUUGGGUUUAAAGGGUCCGUAGGCGGCCUUAUAAGUCAGCGGUGAAAGUUUUUGGCUUAACCAAAAAAUUGCCGUUGUUACUGUAGGGCUUGAAUGUUUGUGAAGUAACUAGAAUAUGUAGUGUAGCGGUGAAAUGCUUAGAUAUUACAUGGAAUACCAAUUGCGAAGGCAGGUUACUAACAAAUGAUUGACGCUGAUGGACGAAAGCGUGGGUAGCGAACAGGAUUAGAUACCCUGGUAGUCCACGCCGUAAACGAUGGAUACUAGCUGUUUGUUCGCAAGGAUGAGUGGCUAAGCGAAAGUGAUAAGUAUCCCACCUGGGGAGUACGGGCGCAAGCCUGAAACUCAAAGGAAUUGACGGGGGCCCGCACAAGCGGUGGAGCAUGUGGUUUAAUUCGAUGAUACGCGAGGAACCUUACCAGGGCUUAAAUGUAGAUUGACAGGCGUGGAAACAUGCUUUUCUUCGGACAAUUUACAAGGUGCUGCAUGGU
rnacentral:rRNA from 1 species